GAUGAACGCUGGCGGCGUGCUUAACACAUGCAAGUCGAACGGAAAGGCCCAAGCUUGCUUGGGUACUCGAGUGGCGAACGGGUGAGUAACACGUGGGUGAUCUGCCCUGCACUUCGGGAUAAGCCUGGGAAACUGGGUCUAAUACCGGAUAGGACCACUUCUUGGAUGUUGUGGUGGAAAGUUUUUUCGGUGUGGGAUGAGCUCGCGGCCUAUCAGCUUGUUGGUGGGGUAAUGGCCUACCAAGGCGUCGACGGGUAGCCGGCCUGAGAGGGUGUACGGCCACAUUGGGACGGAGAUACGGCCCAGACUCCUACGGGAGGCAGCAGUGGGGAAUAUUGCACAAUGGGCGCAAGCCUGAUGCAGCGACGCCGCGUGGGGGAUGACGGCCUUCGGGUUGUAAACUCCUUUCGCUAGGGACGAAGCGUUUUUGUGACGGUACCUGGAGAAGAAGCACCGGCUAACUACGUG
rnacentral:rRNA from 1 species